rnacentral:rRNA from 1 species
AGUGAACGCUGGCGGUAGGCCUAACACAUGCAAGUCGAACGGCAGCACAGUAAGAGCUUGCUCUUACGGGUGGCGAGUGGCGGACGGGUGAGGAAUACAUCGGAAUCUACUUUUUCGUGGGGGAUAACGUAGGGAAACUUACGCUAAUACCGCAUACGACCUACGGGUGAAAGCAGGGGAUCUUCGGACCUUGCGCGAUUGAAUGAGCCGAUGUCGGAUUAGCUAGUUGGCGGGGUGAAGGCCCACCAAGGCGACGAUCCGUAGCUGGUCUGAGAGGAUGAUCAGCCACACUGGAACUGAGACACGGUCCAGACUCCUACGGGAGGCAGCAGUGGGGAAUAUUGGACAAUGGGCGCAAGCCUGAUCCAGCCAUACCGCGUGGGUGAAGAAGGCCUUCGGGUUGUAAAGCCAUUUUGUUGGGAAAGAAAAGCAGCAGGUUAAUACCCCGCUGUUCUGACGGUACCCAAAGAAUAAGCACCGGCUAACUUCGUG